rnacentral:lncRNA from 12 species
AGGCCCAGAAGGAGGCACCUCUGUCUCAUUCAAAAUAGAACAGGACACAAUUGGACGGUUUGACUACAGAAGAUCACCAUGUCUGCAUCUUAGAGCAUUCCCACCCCAUCAUGGUGCCCCCAUUGAAAUGAGGCCGGAGGUCAAGUGAAAACUGUCGAAUCCAGGCCACUUUCACCUGGUACUCCAUGCCACAUCUCACCUCUUCAUGUCGGUCCACCAUCCUUAAAAUUUGCGCCUCAGACACACAGGACACCAGCUCACGUGCAUUGCAGAUAUUCAUAGACCCCUGAUGAUGUCCCUAGGAAGAGGAUUCUGACUGUUCGAUCACUGUGCAGGUUGGGAACCUGUGGACUAUAUGAGAGACAUGGUGGGUUAGAUAGGUCACAGAUCUGCGAAGCCAAGCACAGAAAGAAAGGUCUGAAUUCAGCUCCAUCUCCAGAAAUGUAGGACCUUCCUUGCAUUUUCAGAGAGUUGUGGCUAUGGCAUUUUUGGCUGCGGAUGUAAAGUUAACGAGAUAACGUGGGGCAAGCAGUCAUCUGCCAAGAAGGGGCUCUGGAUAGGUCUGACUGAAGGGAGGGGCCCACGGGCUGGAAUCUUGAAAAAGUGACGUCACUUCCUUGGGGACAAGCGUGUAACGGAUUUAGAACUCUGGUAACUAGGAAGCUGCAUUGAACAAUGUCCCUCUUUCCAGCGCACUUAACUGGAGCUGGUCAGGAGAACAAGACCUUCUGUUGCUGUUGCCCUACUUUCAGUGGCUCUGGGCUUAGGAGAGUCCAGAAAGAGAGAUGUUCAUGCCACUAUGGACGUCAGUUCGGCCCUCUUUCCGAAGCUUCUGGUAAUGUGCGGGAGUCUUCAACAGAGCUGCACCCAGGAGAUCUUGGAGGAGAUGUUCUGUGGCUUCAACUCUUCUAACUCCCUAGACAAUGAUCGGGUGCACCAGGCAAACAAGGAGCAGUGCUGUUCUGAGGUGAGAAUGGGAAGAGGGUUCUCCACAGAGAGAUGGCCACCACGCACACAUGGAGAGAAACCUGGGUCCCUCCCAUAGUGGUUACACACCAGUGCCGCACAGGCCCAAAUGCAAAGAGACCUGAACCUCCACCCCUAACCUCCGGCUACAUCUGAGGUGAUAAGACUCUAUUCCCCUAGGUUGGAGAGGUGCAGAAUAGAUUUCAUGCUUUUGAGGAGUGGGGGUGGUUUGUUUUUUUUCACUCAGAGCACUGAGUGUCUUUGCGUUCAGUAUCAUUUUCCUUAUUGCACCCAUGCGCCCCAGGUAUCCUGUGUAGAAUGCAGCUUCACUGUCGUUGCACAACGUCUGCUGGCCUCAGAAAAGAUCACACUGAAGACGGUGAUUUAA